rnacentral:rRNA from 1 species
GACGAACGCUGGCGGCGUGCUUAACACAUGCAAGUCGAACGGAAAGGCCCUGCUUUUGUGGGGUGCUCGAGUGGCGAACGGGUGAGUAACACGUGAGUAACCUGCCCUUGACUUUGGGAUAACUUCAGGAAACUGGGGCUAAUACCGGAUAGGAGCUCCUGCUGCAUGGUGGGGGUUGGAAAGUUUCGGCGGUUGGGGAUGGACUCGCGGCUUAUCAGCUUGUUGGUGGGGUAGUGGCUUACCAAGGCUUUGACGGGUAGCCGGCCUGAGAGGGUGACCGGCCACAUUGGGACUGAGAUACGGCCCAGACUCCUACGGGAGGCAGCAGUGGGGAAGAUUGCACAAUGGGCGGAAGCCUGAUGCAGCAACGCCGCGUGCGGGAUGAAGGCCUUCGGGUUGUAAACCGCUUUCGCCUGUGACGAAGCGUGAGUGACGGUAAUGGGUAAAGAAGCACCGGCUAACUACGUG